CCAUUUAAAGGGUUUCAGUGCAGCUUGCUAUGGGAACACUGGAGAGUAACACAAAUGGCCAAUUGUCCUAAUAGCCACCAUGGAUUGGAUGGAUGCUAACAACAGGCGCAGAGUUCUCCAUCUGUUGCCUCCUUUUAUCCACAUGAGAAUAAAACAAAACCACGGUCAGUGACCAAGGCCCUGCUUAGAACUUUCUGAAGGUCGCAGCUGGCCUUCUACCUGGAGUUUUGACUUCCUUUCCGAGAAAGGAACUUGAAUGGCAAUCACAAGAAAGUUGAGAACUUCUCUUUCAUAUUUUAAGCAUUCAUUUAUUUUUUAAAUUUAUUUUAAUUUACAAAUACUAAUUGUAUAUAUGUAUAAGGUAAGAUAUGAUAUUUUGAUAUGGCUACCUUGUAAUUAAAUGAGCCUCAUUACCAA
rnacentral:lncRNA from 1 species